AACGAACGCUGGCGGCAUGCCUAACACAUGCAAGUCGAACGAGACCUUCGGGUCUAGUGGCGCACGGGUUCGUAACGCGUGGGAACCUGCCCUUAGGUUCGGAAUACCUCCCCGAAAGGGGUGCUAAUACCGGAUAAUGUCUUCGGACCAAUGAUUUAUCGCCUUUGGAUGGGCCCGCGUUGGAUUAGCUAGUUGGUAGGGUAAAAGCCUACCAAGGCGACGAUCGAUAGCUGGUCUGAGAGGAUGAUCAGUCACACUGGGACUGAGACACGGCCCAGACUCCUACGGGAGGCAGCAGUGGGGAAUAUUGGAAAAUGGGCGAAAGCAUGAUGCAGCAAUGACGCGUGAGUGAUGAAGGCCUUAGGGUUGUAAAGCUCUUUUAACCGGGAUGAUAAUGACAGUACCGGGAGAAUAAGCUACGGCUAACUCCGUG
rnacentral:rRNA from 1 species